AUUUAUAUAAUAUAACUAAGUAUAGUUGACUUCCAAUCAAAAAGUUUAAAUAUUUUUAAUAUAAAUA
rnacentral:tRNA from 1 species